rnacentral:rRNA from 1 species
CGGUGGAGCAUGUGGUUUAAUUCGAAGCAACGCGAAGAACCUUUCCAGGUCUUGACGUCCCGCUGACCGGCCUAGAGAUAGUUUCCGAGCGUACAGGUGUGACGAGCGCAACCCUUGAUCUUAGUUGCCAGCGGGAUGUCAAAUAUCAUGCCCCUUAUGACCUGGCUACAUACAUGGACGGUACAAGGGUCGCAACCCCGCGAGGGUGAGCAUCCCAUAAAACCGUUCUCAGUUCGGAUUGUAGUGCAACUCGCCUACAUGAAGCCGGAAUCGCUAGUAAUCGGGAUCAGCAUGCCACGGUGAAUACGUUCCCGGGCCUUGUACACACCGCCGUCACACCACGAGAGUUUGUAACACCCGAAGUCGGUGGGGUAACCCUUACGGGAGCCAGCCGCCGAAGUGGGACAGAUGAUUGGGGUGAAGUCGUACAAGGU